rnacentral:rRNA from 1 species
CCUACGGGAGGCAGCAGUGAGGAAUAUUGGUCAAUGGACGCAAGUCUGAACCAGCCAUGCCGCGUGCAGGAAGACGGCUCUAUGGGUUGUAAACUUCUUUUGUACGAGGGUAAACGCAGGUAUGCGUAUCUGUCUGUAUGUAUCGUACGAAUAAGGAUCGGCUAACUCCGUGCCAGCAGCCGCGGUAAUACGGAGGAUUCAAGCGUUAUCCGGAUUUAUUGGGUUUAAAGGGUGCGUAGGCGGUCGGAUAAGUUAGAGGUGAAAGCCCGCGGCUCAACUUCGGAAUUGCUGUUGAUACUGGUCGGCUAGAGAGCAGGUGCGGUAGGCGGAAUGCAUGGUGUAGCAGUGAAAUGCUUAGAUAUCACACAGAACACCGAUUGCGAAGGCAGCUUACCAAGCUACUUCUGACGCUGAGGCACGAAAGCGUGGGGAUCAAACAGGAUUAGAUACCCUAGUAGUC